rnacentral:tRNA from 3 species
GGAGGCUUAGCUCAGCUGGUUUAGAGCACUACCUCGACAAGGUAGGGGUCACUGGUUCGAACCCAGUAGUCUCCACAA